rnacentral:rRNA from 1 species
ACAGGGAUUGCCCUAGUAACGGCGAGUGAAGCGGCAACAGCUCAAAUUUGAAAUCUGGCUCUUUUAGAGUCCGAGUUGUAAUUUGCAGAGGGCGCUUUGGCUUUGGCAGCGGUCCAAGUUCCUUGGAACAGGACGUCACAGAGGGUGAGAAUCCCGUACGUGGUCGCUGGCUAUUGCCGUGUAAAGCCCCUUCGACGAGUCGAGUUGUUUGGGAAUGCAGCUCUAAAUGGGAGGUACAUUUCUUCUAAAGCUAAAUAUUGGCCAGAGACCGAUAGCGCACAAGUAGAGUGAUCGAAAGAUGAAAAGCACUUUGGAAAGAGAGUCAAACAGCACGUGAAAUUGUUGAAAGGGAAGCGCUUGCAGCCAGACUUGCUUACAGUUGCUCAUCCGGGUUUCUACCCGGUGCACUCUUCUGUAGGCAGGCCAGCAUCAGUUUGGGCGGUAGGAUAAAGGUCUCUGUCACGUACCUCCUUUCGGGGAGGCCUUAUAGGGGAGACGACAUACUACCAGCCUGGACUGAGGUCCGCGCAUCUGCUAGGAUGCUGGCGUAAUGGCUGUAAGCGGCCCGUCUUGAAACACGGACCAAGGAGUCUAACAUCUAUGCGAGUGUUUGGGUGUCAAGCCCGAGCGCGUAAUGAAAGUGAACGGAGGUGGGAACCCGCAAGGGUGCACCAUCGACCGAUCCUGAUGUCUUCGGAAGGAUUUGAGUAAGAGCAUGGCUGUUGGGACCCGAAAGAUGGUGAACUAUGCUUGAAUAGGGUGAAGCCAGAGGAAACUCUGGUGGAGGCUCGCAGCGGUUCUGACGUGCAAAUCGAUCGUCAAAUUUGGGCAUAGGGGCGAAAGACUAAUC